CCCCCUCCCCGCCUCCUCUCCAAUUUUGGGUCCAUCGCUAUUCCUCUGCAUUCUUCUGUGGAUCUGGGUUGCUUUUCUUUGAUGCUGAUUCAAGGGCCGUCACCCUAUUCCUCUGGCAUUCUUCUGUGGAUCUGGGUUGCUUUUCAUUGAUGUUGAUUCAAGGGUCGUCACCCAUCUGACGAAUCUGGCCCCGACUUGAUUGUGUAUUCCAUCGCUCCCUCUUCC
rnacentral:lncRNA from 1 species